rnacentral:lncRNA from 10 species
UAGAAGUGGAGGGGCCGUUCGAAGAGUCGUGAGGGGGUGACGGGUUAAGAUUCGGAGAGAGAGGUGCUAGUGGCUGGACUUGACCUGGAAAGGAUCUUGCUUUGUUGCCCAGGCUGGAGUGCAGGAGCACAAUCUCAGCUCACUGCAACCUCUGUCUCCCAGGCUCAAGCAAUCUUCCCAUCUCAGCCUUUCGAGUAGCCGGGACUACAGGCAUGCACCACCACGCCCAGCUAAUUUUUUGUAUUUUUGAUAGAGUCGGGGCUUUGCCAUGUUGCCCAGGCUGGUCUCAAACUCCUGAGCUUAAGCAGUCUGCCCACCUUGGCCUCUUAGAGUGCUGGGAUUACAGGCAUGAGCCACCAUGUCCAGCCUCAUUUGCAUUCUUGUACUGCAUUUUCAUUAAAUCAUUCAAGUUCCUUUUAUCUUGUGUAACAUAUUUAAUUGCAUUUUCCUACUGAAUAAAAAAAAGGGAACAGUU